rnacentral:rRNA from 1 species
GUACACAAAAAUGCACAUGCUGUGAGCUCGAUGAGUAGGGCGGGACACGUGGUAUCCUGUCUGAAUAUGGGGGGACCAUCCUCCAAGGCUAAAUACUCCUGACUGACCGAUAGUGAACCAGUACCGUGAGGGAAAGGCGAAAAGAACCCCGGCGAGGGGAGUGAAAAAGAACCUGAAACCGUGUACGUACAAGCAGUGGGAGCACGCUUAGGCGUGUGACUGCGUACCUUUUGUAUAAUGGGUCAGCGACUUAUAUUCUGUAGCAAGGUUAACCGAAUAGGGGAGCCGAAGGGAAACCGAGUCUUAACUGGGCGUUAAGUUGCAGGGUAUAGACCCGAAACCCGGUGAUCUAGCCAUGGGCAGGUUGAAGGUUGGGUAACACUAACUGGAGGACCGAACCGACUAAUGUUGAAAAAUUAGCGGAUGACUUGUGGCUGGGGGUGAAAGGCCAAUCAAACCGGGAGAUAGCUGGUUCUCCCCGAAAGCUAUUUAGGUAGCGCCUCGUGAAUUCAUCUCCGGGGGUAGAGCACUGUUUCGGCAAGGGGGUCAUCCCGACUUACCAACCCGAUGCAAACUGCGAAUACCGGAGAAUGUUAUCACGGGAGACACACGGCGGGUGCUAACGUCCGUCGUGAAGAGGGAAACAACCCAGACCGCCAGCUAAGGUCCCAAAGUCAUGGUUAAGUGGGAAACGAUGUGGGAAGGCCCAGACAGCCAGGAUGUUGGCUUAGAAGCAGCCAUCAUUUAAAGAAAGCGUAAUAGCUCACUGGUCGAGUCGGCCUGCGCGGAAGAUGUAACGGGGCUAAACCAUGCACCGAAGCUGCGGCAGCGACACUGUGUGUUGUUGGGUAGGGGAGCGUUCUGUAAGCCUGCGAAGGUGUGCUGUGAGGCAUGCUGGAGGUAUCAGAAGUGCGAAUGCUGACAUAAGUAACGAUAAAGCGGGUGAAAAGCCCGCUCGCCGGAAGACCAAGGGUUCCUGUCCAACGUUAAUCGGGGCAGGGUGAGUCGACCCCUAAGGCGAGGCCGAAAGGCGUAGUCGAUGGGAAACAGGUUAAUAUUCCUGUACUUGGUGUUACUGCGAAGGGGGGACGGAGAAGGCUAUGUUGGCCGGGCGACGGUUGUCCCGGUUUAAGCGUGUAGGCUGGUUUUCCAGGCAAAUCCGGAAAAUCAAGGCUGAGGCGUGAUGACGAGGCACUACGGUGCUGAAGCAACAAAUGCCCUGCUUCCAGGAAAAGCCUCUAAGCAUCAGGUAACAUCAAAUCGUACCCCAAACCGACACAGGUGGUCAGGUAGAGAAUACCAAGGCGCUUGAGAGAACUCGGGUGAAGGAACUAGGCAAAAUGGUGCCGUAACUUCGGGAGAAGGCACGCUGAUAUGUAGGUGAAGUCCCUCGCGGAUGGAGCUGAAAUCAGUCGAAGAUACCAGCUGGCUGCAACUGUUUAUUAAAAACACAGCACUGUGCAAACACGAAAGUGGACGUAUACGGUGUGACGCCUGCCCGGUGCCGGAAGGUUAAUUGAUGGGGUCAGCGCAAGCGAAGCUCUUGAUCGAAGCCCCGGUAAACGGCGGCCGUAACUAUAACGGUCCUAAGGUAGCGAAAUUCCUUGUCGGGUAAGUUCCGACCUGCACGAAUGGCGUAAUGAUGGCCAGGCUGUCUCCACCCGAGACUCAGUGAAAUUGAACUCGCUGUGAAGAUGCAGUGUACCCGCGGCAAGACGGAAAGACCCCGUGAACCUUUACUAUAGCUUGACACUGAACAUUGAGCCUUGAUGUGUAGGAUAGGUGGGAGGCUUUGAAGUGUGGACGCCAGUCUGCAUGGAGCCGACCUUGAAAUACCACCCUUUAAUGUUUGAUGUUCUAACGUUGACCCGUGAUCCGGGUUGCGGACAGUGUCUGGUGGGUAGUUUGACUGGGGCGGUCUCCUCCUAAAGAGUAACGGAGGAGCACGAAGGUUGGCUA